ACAAACUUGGUCAUUUAGAGGAAGUAAAAGUCGUAACAAGGUAACCGUAGGUGAACCUGCGGUUGGAUCAUUACAUAGCUAUCACCCGCAGCUGUCUCGCUGCGAGGUGUCUACCCCUGAGAACUGGCUACAUAGUACCUGGGGUGCACCCUCUGCUCUGCUCUGUGGAGUGCCCCGACAGCGCAACCACUAUUACUUUGUGACACUCUAGUCUAAGAGAAACAACUUUUGACAACGGAUCUCUUGGCUCUCGCAUCGAUGAAGAACGCAGC
rnacentral:misc_RNA from 1 species